AGGCUGGGGUGGCGGAGAGCUGGGCAGUCACGCAGCCUAACUGGCUGGUCGGGCGUCAGGGCGGUGAAGGUAGGACUACCGGUCCCGGGCGCCGAGUUCCCUCUCUCCAGCUGCCCGCAGUCAGAGCAUGCUCCUCAGGCCCCGAGGACCCCUGGCCGGGCUUGCUUAGAGAAGACAACUCCCCAGCACUGGGGCCGGGGCGUCCCUGCCCGCUCCUCCACUGUCGCUGGAGAACCGCCUGGCUGAGCGGCUGGGAGAAACAGGCCAGAGCCUUCUAGGGCCUCGGGCCCGGGGACCCGUGGAGGAUGAGCUGGCUCUUUCCCCUGACCAAGAGCGCCUCCUCCUCCGCAGCUGGGUCCCCCGGUGGCCUCACCAGCCUCCAACAGCAGAAGCAGCGCCUGAUCGAGUCCCUCCGGAACUCACACUCCAGUAUAGCUGAAAUACAGAAAGAUGUGGAAUACAGGUUGCCAUUCACCGUAAACAACUUGACAAUUAACAUUAAUAUAUUGCUCCCUCCACAAUUUCCUCAGGAAAAACCAGUGAUCAGCGUUUAUCCACCAGUACGACAUCACUUAGUGGAUAAACAAGGAGUGUAUGUUACCUCUCCGUUAAUAAACAAUUUUACAAUGCACUCAGAUCUUGGGAAAAUUAUUCAGAGUCUCUUGGAUGAGUUUUGGAAGAAUCCUCCAGUUUUAGCUCCCGCUUCAACAGCAUUUCCAUACCUGUAUGGUAACCCAAGUGGGAUGCCUCCUUAUGCUUCUCAGGGUUUUCCAUUUCUUCCUCCAUAUCCGCCACAAGAAGCUAACAGGACUAUCAGUUCUUUAUCUGUUGCUGACACUGUUUCUUCUUCAACGACAAGUUAUACAACAGCCAAACCUGCUGCUCCUUCAUUUGGUGUCCUUUCAAAUCUGCCAUUGCCUGUUCCCACAACAGACACUUCAGCACCGAUAAGCCAAAAUGGUUCUGGUUACAAGAUGCCUGAUGUCCCUGAUGCAUUUCCAGAACUCUCAGAACUAAGUGUUUCACAACUUACAGAUAUGAAUGAACAAGAGGAAGUAUUACUAGAACAGUUUCUGACUUUGCCUCAACUAAAACAAAUCAUUACUGACAAGGAUGACUUAGUAAAAAAUAUUGAGGAGCUAGCAAGAAAAAAUCUCCUUUUGGAGCCCAGCUUAGAAGCCAAAAGGCAAAGUGUUUUAGAUAAGUAUGAAUUACUUACACAAAUGAAAUCUACUUUUGAAAAGAAGAUGCAGAGGCAGCAUGAACUUAGUGAGAGCUGUAGUGCGAGUGCCCUACAGGCGAGAUUGAAAGUAGCUGCACAUGAAGCCGAGGAAGAAUCUGAUAAUAUUGCGGAAGAUUUCUUGGAGGGAAAAACUGAUAUAGAUGAUUUUCUCAGUAGCUUCAUGGAAAAAAGAACAGUAUGUAAUACUCUUCGGUUGAGGACAAGUGACAGCAUAAUAGCAAAUUACUUACAUAUAUUCAUGAGUAAAAGAACCUUAGCACAUUACUGAGCUGGAGUUUUGAUUGCCGUGCGAGGAAACUGAAGAGCCUCUGUUGAGAAUAAUAGCAACAUCCUACUAUAACUUAAACCUGCUUGUUGUGAGUACACAAGCAGGUAAAUCACAUAAUAGUUCUGUUUCAGAAACGAUAGGAUCUGUAUCAUUCUGUAGUAAAGCUAGUAAAUUAGCUUUAGUCUAGUCUUAAUUGUUGUAAUAUAUUCGUAAAUAACCUGUCUCACAGGUUGUUGAAAGAGAGUCAUCUAUAGAGACUUAAAAGUUUUGUUUUUAAAAUACUGAGAACAUUCUGGGAAUAGUUUCUGUUCUGAUAUUUCCAUUUUAUUUAAAGAAAAAAAUUUUACAACCCGCUUAGCAGUAUCUUGUCCUUUGUUGGAGUCCUAAGUAUAUACUUAAUUUCUCUGAAACAAAACAUUUAAAAAAUAACCUCCUGUUAAUAAACUUUAUAAAAUAUAUUUGCUAUAUAUGUUCCUAUCCUGUUAAGGAAAGUGGGGCAGAUUUUAUCACCCCCUUUUUCUAUAGGAGAAAACUGAAUUUCAGAGACAUUAAUGACUAUGAUUAUAGCCUCAGUAAAACAUUGAUUUCUGGUCCAUGGUUCUAUGGCACUAUAUAACUGUACCUCAAAAUUUUUCAUUUGUUAAACCUCCUGUUUAAAAGCAGUAGAAAUUACUUUUAUAUUUUUAAAACACAGAUAUUUGAACUUACAUAAUCAGAAUUAAUAUAAAGGAUCAGAAGUUUUUUUUACAUUCUAGAAGUUUACAGGCAAAGAUAAUCUUCCAAACAAAAUUAAUUUCUUUUUGAUUCUUAAACGCCGUGCUACCUUAGACAUUCACAAUUUAAAUAAUGUCAAGUUAAAAAAUUCUUAGAUUUCCAUCCAAAUGUAGGUAGUAGUAGGCAAAUUAUUGACAAAAUGACUGGUAUUUUAAAUAAUUUAUCUUCUAGAUUUACCACUGUAGAAGAGCCAAAGAAGAAAAGCUUCAACAAGUGAUAGCAAUGCACAGCCAGUUUCAUGCUCCACUCUAGAUUUUCCUGAAAACAUGAACUGCCAAGAGAGGAAUGGGACAUGAAACAAAGCACAUUUUAUAUAUUUAUGAUUUGCAAAUUGGCAUUUCAUCACAGUGGCUGAAUUCAUAGAUGUACUAUAUAGAUCGUGUACAGCACUGAAACUGAUUUUGUACAGAUUAGAAUGAUUGCUGUGAUCUUUGCUUUAGAAAUUUUCUGCACUAUUUGCACUAAAAAUGUUUAUUUAUUGUUGAUAAAUCCUAUCAUAUUUAAGUUCCACCGCUAUUCUUCUCAUUGAUUAAAUACCUAUGCAUGUAAUUUUAGCUAGUUUCAAUAUUUUAAAAAAUUACUUCAUUUAAAUUUGUAUUUUUAAUUUGAAAUUGCCUCAUUUCUUUAUCAAAGAGUGGUUUGUUUAGAUUUUUUUCAUUUCAACUUUUUUUGAAAAACUGCUAUUUCAACUAUAGAAAGACUCUAUUUUUCCUCUUUCUUUCUGGAUGAUAAACCUUUCUUUUCGAACAUAAUUUGUUUUUACAACACCAAACCUGCCAAUGUGCAAUCUCAAGGAAGUAACUUUUAAUACAUACAAUAAAUCAAAAGAAUAAACCAGC